rnacentral:rRNA from 1 species
CAUAGUCAUUGGUCUUUAUUAAUGAUGUCGUCUGCUCAAUGAGUUGAAUUAAAUAGCCGCAGUACUUUGACUGUGCAAAGGUAGCAUAAUCAAUUGGUCUCUAAUUGGGGUCUAGCAUGAAUGAAUGUAUGGGGGGUUGCUGUCUUGGGAGAUUAUUAAAAAUUACCGGGGAAGUGCAAAGGCUUCUGUAGAUGAAUUAGACGAGAAGACCCUAGAAAUUUAUGAAUUUAUUUUGUUGGGGCGACAGGGUAACAAAGAACUUACUUAUAUAUAUUAUUUGAACUUUGUAAAUAGAACAAGAAAAUUACUCUAGGGAUAACAGCAUAAUUUUGAUAAAGAUUGUGACCUCGAUGUUGGAUUAGGAACAAUGAAGGCUUAGCAAGUA